CAUGGUAUGCACUGGCUCGCUGACUCCUCCUUCUUGUAGAACCGUAAUGCCAUUAAUUUGGUGUUGCGGGGAAACAGGACUGUUACUUUGAAAAAAUUAGAGUGUUUAAAGCAGGCCAACGCCUGAAUACAUUAGCAUGGAAUAAUGAAAUAGGACGUUCGAACCUAUUUUGUUGGUUUCUAGGAUUGACGUAAUGAUUAAUAGGGAUAGUUGGGGGCAUUAGUAUUCAAUUGUCAGAGGUGAAAUUCUUGGAUUUAUUGAAGACUGACUACCGCGAAAGCAUUUGCCAAGGAUGUUUUCAUUAAUCAAGAACGAAAGUUAGGGGAUCGAAGACGAUCAGAUACCGUCGUAGUCUUAACCAUAAACUAUGCCGACUAGGGGUCGGAUGAUGUUAAUUUUUUAAUGGCUCAUUCGGCGCCUUACG
rnacentral:rRNA from 1 species